UACGGGGGGGGGCAAGCGUUGUUCGGAAUUACUGGGCGUAAAGGGCUCGUAGGCGGCCAACUAAGUCAGACGUGAAAUCCCUCGGCUUAACCGGGGGAACUGCAUCUGAUACUGGAUGGCUUGAGUUCGGGAGAGGGAAGCGGAAUUCCGGGUGUAGCGGUGAAAUGCGCAGAUAUCCGGAGGAACACCGGUGGCGAAGGCGGCUUCCUGGACCGACACUGACGCUGAGGCGCGAAAGCUAGGGGAGCAAACGGG
rnacentral:rRNA from 1 species